UUGAGAGUUUUAUAAUAAGGAGUCGGACCUGCCCGGUGAAAUUUUUUAACGGCCGCGGUACUCUGACCGUGCAAAGGUAGCAUAAUCAUUUGCCUUAUAAUUGAAGGCUGGUAUGAAUGGUUUGACAAGAAUGUAGCUGUCUCUUUACAAUUUGAUAGAAUUUUAUUUUUAGGUGAAAAAGCCUAGAUUGGAUUAAAAGACAAGAAGACCCUAUCGAGCUUAAAAAAAGUUAAUAGAUGUUUAUUUUUAUUUUUCAUAAAGAAUAUGGCUGUUAAAUAUUUUGGUUGGGGCGACUAAGGAACAUGAAAAGCUUCCUUUUAAUUUAUAUUGGAACGUACAAGUGUUGAUCCAUAGUUAGUGAUUGAAGGAAUUAGUUACCGUAGGGAUAACAGCAUUAUCUUUUUUGAGAGUUCUAAUCGAAAAAAGGGUUUGUGACCUCGAUGUUGGACCAGAAUAUCCUAAAGAUGCAGAAGUCUUUAAGGGUUGGGUCCUGUUCGACCAUUAAAAUUCUA
rnacentral:rRNA from 1 species